UACGGAGGGUGCAAGCGUUAAUCGGAUUUAUUGGGCGUAAAGGGCGCGUAGGCGGUUAUUUAAGUUAGAUGUGAAAGACCGGGGCUCAACCUCGAGUUUGCAUUUGAUACUGGAUAGCUAGAGGCUAGGUGGGGGAAGCGGAAUUCCACGUGUAGCGGUGAAAUGCGUAGAGAUGUGGAAGAACACCGGUGGCGAAGGCGGCUUUCUAACUUAGUCCUGACGCUGAUGCGCGAAAGCAAGGGGAGCAAACAGG
rnacentral:misc_RNA from 1 species